rnacentral:tRNA from 1 species
GUUCACUUGGCGGAAUCGGUAGACGCGACAGAUUUAAAAUUUGUUCUCUUUUAAGAGGUGCGAGUUCAAGUCUCGCAGUGAAUA